GCCGUCUCAACGGGGUGCGGUGAGUCGGGCCGUGUGCAUAAGCCCGAUUUUCCGCUGAGAGCACACCCGUCGAACCUGAUCCGGUCAAUACCGGCGGAGGGAUUUGAGCCCAGCGAACCG
rnacentral:ncRNA from 2 species